UACGGAAGGCAGCAGUGGGGAAUAUUGCACAAUGGGCGCAAGCCUGAUGCAGCCAUGCCGCGUGUAUGAAGAAGCCUUCGGGUUGUAAAGUACUUUCAGUCGUGAGGAAGGUGUUAAGGUUAAUAACCUUAGCAAUUGACGUUAGCGACAGAAGAAGCACCGGCUAACUCCGUGCCAGCAGCCGCGGUAAUACGGAGGGUGCGAGCGUUAAUCGGAAUUACUGGGCGUAAAGGGCACGCAGGCGGUUAAUUAAGUUGGAUGUGAAAUCCCCGGGCUUAACCUGGGAAUGGCAUUCAAGACUGGUUAGCUAGAGUCUUGUAGAGGGGGUAGAAUUCCAUGUGUAGCGGUGAAAUGCGUAGAGAUGUGGAGGAAUACCGGUGGCGAAGGCGGCCCCUGGACAAAGGCUGACGCUCAUGUGCGAAAGCGUGGGGAGCGAAACAGGGAUUAGAUACC
rnacentral:rRNA from 1 species